rnacentral:rRNA from 1 species
UGAGGAAUUUUGCGCAAUGGCCGCAAGGCUGACGCAGCAACGCCGCGUGGGUGAAGAAGGCCUUCGGGUCGUAAAGCCCUGUCAGGUGGGAAGAACACCAUGGGGACGAACAAGCUUCAUGGCUGACGGUACCACCAGAGGAAGCACCGGCUAACUCCGUGCCAGCAGCCGCGGUACUACGGCGGGUGCGAGCGUUAUUCGGAAUUACUGGGCGUAAAGCGCGUGCAGGCGGUUUGGCAAGUCUGAGGUGAAAGCCCCGGGCUUAACCUGGGAAGUGCAUUGGAAACUGCCGGACUUGAGGACUGGAGAGGAAGGGGGAAUUCCCGGUGUAGAGGUGAAAGUCGUAGAGAGCGGGAGGAAUACCAGUGGCGAAGGCGCCCUUCUGGACGGUUACUGACGCUGAGACGCGAAAGCGUGGGGAGCAAACA